AGGUUCUCUUAAAUUCCAUGGAUUUUAACUUUGGCCCAUGACCUCCUUGACCUCUGGAAAUGUGACAUCCUGUACCUGCUGCAUCAGGGCUCUUCCCUGGUCUUGCCUACACCGGUGUCUACCUUCCUGUCCAUAUCACUUGCUUCUGCAUAAAAUGGGUGCAGAAGAUAAUGAGACGGAUUUGACCGUGGUGAACAGACAGGCACACAAGAUGGAGCAGGCCCUGGUGAUAAACCCCAAUUCAAGUGAGAGGAAGUAUGAGGAACCAGAUUGGAAGAUGGAGUCCAGUGCCCAGAGAUCAUGGUCCAGGCAGGAUUUUUGUAAAUCCAUGCAUAUUUACUUUUGCCCUAAGUUUUCUGAGAUGAUCAUUCUUUGUAGGAUUGAAGAUCAAAGUUUGAAGUUGACUUCUAGGCCCCAUCCUGGUACAUUCUGGAUGAAUUUUGGGGUUGGAAGAUGGAGGACCUAUACAUUUUGAGGGAAAUAAGAAGGAUAAUAGGAGUCAGUGAAGAAGUGGUCAGCACCAAAGGAGGAGAGCAUUUAAAGGAAAAGAGGCUUGAUAAACCAGAGGGAUAGUCUGAGAGAGAAACUGAAGGUCAAAAUCAACGCAGUGGUGCCGAACAGAAGGGCCCAAGGUGCGAUGAGUAUAAUAUGAACACGAAGGAAAAUAGUGAGUUCAAAAGCCUGGAGAAUCAGAAGCAGGUCAAGCGCUGGGGUUCAGGGCAAAGACCCUAAACACUGUGAAGGUGUUGGAGACCUGUUUUGAGGUGGCACUGCGGCUCAAUGUGAGUGCAGACCUGAGAGAUUAAAGUGCCCACGAAGGGUCAAAUACCUGUCCCUUCAUGACAUGA
rnacentral:lncRNA from 1 species